rnacentral:rRNA from 1 species
CUAGCGACUUCAGAGUUUGAUCCUGGCUCAGGAUGAACGCUAGCGACAGGCCUAACACAUGCAAGUCGAGGGGCAGCACGAAGUAAGCUUGCUUACUUUGGUGGCGACCGGCGCACGGGUGCGUAACAGGUGUGCAAUCUGUCCAUAAUCGGGGAAUAGCCCAGCGAAAGUUGGAUUAAUGCUCCAUGUGAGUUUUAGAGGCAUCUCUUUAACUUGAAACGUAAGGAUUAUGGGUGAGCACGCUUCUGAUUAGGUAGUUGGUGAGGUAACGGCUCACCAAGCCGACGAUCAGUAGGGGUUCUGAGAGGAAGGUCCCCCACAUUGGAACUGAGACACGGUCCAA